AAUAUUUGACAACGGGCGAAAGCCUGACGCAGCCACGCCGCGUGAAUGAUGAAGGUCUUAGGAUUGUAAAAUUCUUUCACCGGGGACGAUAAUGACGGUACCCGGAGAAUAAGCCCCUGCUACCUUCGUGCCAGCAGCCGCGGUAAUACGAAGGGGGCUAGCGUUGCUCGGAAUUACUGGGCGUAAAGGGCGCGUAGGCGGAUCGUUAAGUCAGGGGUGAAAUCCCGGGGCUCAACCUCGGAACUGCCCUUGAUACUGGCGCUCUUGAGUAUGAGAGAGGUAUGUGGAACUCCGAGUGUAGAGGUGAAAUUCGUAGAUAUUCGGAAGAAAACCAGUGGCGAAGGCGACAUACUGGCUCAUUACUGACGCUGAGGCGCGAAAGCGUGGGGAGCAAACA
rnacentral:rRNA from 1 species